UACGUAGGGACCGAGCGUUGUCCGGAAUCAUUGGGCGUAAAGAGCGUGUAGGCGGCUUGCUAAGUCUUGCGUGAAAUCUCAGGGCUCAACCCCCGAGCGGUCGUGGGAAACUGGCAGGCUAGAGUGCGGGAGAGGAGAAUGGAAUUCCUGGGUGUAGCGGUGAAAUGCGCAGAUAUCAGGAGGAACACCAAUGGCGAAGGCAGCUCGCUGGAACGGUACUGACGCUGAGGAGCGAAAGCGUGGGGAGCGAACAGG
rnacentral:rRNA from 1 species